AACGAACGCUGGCGGCAGGCUUAACACAUGCAAGUCGAGCGCCCCGCAAGGGGAGCGGCAGACGGGUGAGUAACGCGUGGGAAUCUACCCAUCUCUACGGAAUAACGCUUGGAAACGUGUGCUAAUACCGUAUACGUCCUUCGGGGGAAAGAUUUAUCGGAGAUGGAUGAGCCCGCGUUGGAUUAGCUAGUUGGUGGGGUAAAGGCAUACCAAGGCGACGAUCCAUAGCUGGUCUGAGAGGAUGAUCAGCCACACUGGGACUGAGACACGGCCCAGACUCCUACGGGAGGCAGCAGUGGGGAAUAUUGGACAAUGGGCGCAAGCCUGAUCCAGCCAUGCCGCGUGAGUGAUGAAGGCCCUAGGGUUGUAAAGCUCUUUCACCGGUGAAGAUAAUGACGGUAACCGGAGAAGAAGCCCCGGCUAACUUCGUGCCAGCAGCCGCGGUAAGAC
rnacentral:rRNA from 1 species